rnacentral:rRNA from 1 species
UACGUAGGGUGCAAGCGUUAAUCGGAAUUACUGGGCGUAAAGCGAUCGCAGGCGGUUAUGUAAGACAGAUGUGAAAUCCCAGGGCUUAACCUUGGAACUGCAUUUGUGACUGCAUGGCUAGAGUGUGUCAGAGGGGGGUGGAACUCCACGUGUAGCAGUGAAAUGCGUAGAGAUGUGGAAGAACACCGAUGGCGAAGGCAGCCCCCUGGGAUAACACUGACGCUCAGGCUCGAAAGCGUGGGGAGCAAACAGG